UUUCAUUCUUUAUAUUCUUACUGAACACGUGUUAGCAAUCUACCUUAUCGUGCCACAGCUUCUCGAUUCCACCACCAUUCUUUACUUUUGCUUUCCUUACUUAUGCCCACCGUUUCAAUUUGGUCAUGGCAACCACUUCUUUCAUCGUUACCGGAGCCCCGUUUUGGAAAUCGCGGCGGAGGUGGCGCCGGCUAGACCAACGGAGACGCUACGGCUGGCGAACGGUUGGGAAUCGUUUUCGAAUGGUGCAGUGGAGUCGGACACGGUUCAGUUGUCCCUUCUGUUUCUUAUCUCACGACUGCAGCUAUGAGAUGUUGCUAACCCAUCAUGACCCACCGAUCGGUCUCUUUAUCGGUUGGUCAUCGACUAAAAUCUUUGUUCGGCUUCCCCAUCUUCUCUUACCUAUUCUGGCUGCUUCCAACCGUCUGUAAAUCGAUUUCAGCCUCCGAUUUCACAACUUUGUUUUGGAUUUGAUUUUAGGAAUGUUUUUAGGAUUUUGAAAUCGCCAGCGUUGGUGGGUAGUGCACAGCUCACCACCUCCCUUCUUCCAAUUAGAUGCUCUUCUGCUGCUCACAGCUUGCUUUUUUGUUUCACAAAUCAUCAAUUUCACAUGGUCCAGGCAGAUUUAUGCCGCUGCUCCGAUGGCGUCGAAGACGGCCAUUUGAAGACUAAAGAACGCUAGUUGUCACACAUAUCUAUUUUUAUUUGAAGUAGAGGCUUUGGAUUGAAUAUUAGUCUUUUGCUUUCUCAUUGGUUGGCAUUUCUUUUCUUUAUAGGAUAAACAAAUAUCGUCUGAUUAGGGAGGAGCAAAGGCGGGAGGCUGAGUCUGAACCCUAAUUUGAUUCUCCGAUUUCAAAGUAAUUAGUUCAGUUUGGAGCCCAACAUCUAAUAAAAGGAGUUUUGAAGCUGAUUAGUAUUGAAAGUUUGACAAUUUAUCAUGUGAAAAGCCAUUUACAGUUUAAGGGUGUGUACGGGUGCUUAUGAUGAUGAGAUGAUAAGAGCAUGGGUAGAAUGGGACAAAAAAAAAUUCAGAAAAUGAUCAUCAUUCAGAGUUUUCUGAAAAUGUCAUUUUUAAUUUAUUUCUUCAUUCUGUUUAUGUAGGUGUGGAGAUGUCUUUUUUUAAUACUUUUUUGAUAUCAUUUAUCUGUAAAACAUUUUAUCUAUGACAACACAAAAAAAUGGAAUAAAAAAGAAACAGGGUUUAAGUGAUUUUUUUUUCCGAAAUACAAAACAACAAUUUUUGGUUUUCAGGUGAAGAUAUUCUAUUUCUGGAUCUAUCAUUGGACCCUGGACUCUUUGAAGGCCCGAAAGGAGUUGAACAGGUGACGCAAACAUAAUUUAUUGAUAUCUGCUAACAACUUAAUCUUAAAAUUUGCUAUCUCUAAUGUUAUAUUAUAUUAUUAUAUCUUUUUUUUUCAGGAUUCUGUCGAAGAGAGAACAAACACUAAAAUAAAAUGAAAUGAAAAUAACCGGUCUAUUAGAUUGUUUUCUUAGGCAUCCGCGAUGUGAAGCCGUUCUCCAUGCAUAAAUAAAUCAAAACGUUCUCCUGUUUAGUAAA